UACGUAGGGUCCGAGCGUUGUCCGGAAUUAUUGGGCGUAAAGAGCUCGUAGGCGGUUUGUCGCGUCUGCUGUGAAAUCCCGAGGCUCAACCUCGGGCCUGCAGUGGGUACGGGCAGACUUGAGUGGUGUAGGGGAGACUGGAAUUCCUGGUGUAGCGGUGGAAUGCGCAGAUAUCGGGAGGAACACCAGUAGCGAAGGCGGCUCGCUGGGCCACACCUGACGCUGAGACGCGAAAGCUAGGGGAGCGAACAGG
rnacentral:rRNA from 1 species